GACGAACGCUGGCGGCGUGCUUAACACAUGCAAGUCGAACGGAAAGGCCCUGCUUUUGUGGGGUGCUCGAGUGGCGAACGGGUGAGUAACACGUGAGUAACCUGCCCUUGACUUUGGGAUAACCUCAGGAAACUGGGGCUAAUACCGGAUAGGAGCUCCUGCUGCAUGGUGGGGGUUGGAAAGUUUCGGCGGUUGGGGAUGGACUCGCGGCUUAUCAGCUUGUUGGUGGGGUAGUGGCUUACCAAGGCCUUGACGGGUAGCCGGCCUGAGAGGGUGACCGGCCACAUUGGGACUGAGAUACGGCCCAGACUCCUACGGGAGGCAGCAGUGGGGAAUAUUGCACAAUGGGCGGAAGCCUGAUGCAGCAACGCCGCGUGCGGGAUGACGGCCUUCGGGCUGUAAACCGCUUUCGCCUGUGACGAAGCGUGAGUGACGGUAAUGGGUAAAGAAGCACCGGCUAACUACGUG
rnacentral:rRNA from 1 species